rnacentral:rRNA from 1 species
AUGCACGCUGGCGGCGUGCCUAAUACCUGCAAGUCGAGCGAACGGACGAGAAGCUUGCUUCUCUGAUGUUAGCGGCGGACGGGUGAGUAACACGUGGAUAACCUACCUAUAAGACUGGGAUAACUUCGGGAAACCGGAGCUAAUACCGGAUGAUAUUUUGAACCGCAUGGUUCAAAAGUGAAAGACGGUCUUGCUGUCACUUAUAGAUGGAUCCGCGCUGCAUUAGCUAGUUGGUAAGGUAACGGCUUACCAAGGCAACGAUGCAUAGCCGACCUGAGAGGGUGAUCGGCCACACUGGAACUGAGACACGGUCCAGACUCCUACGGGAGGCAGCAGUAGGGAAUCUUCCGCAAUGGGCGAAAGCCUGACGGAGCAACGCCGCGUGAGUGAUGAAGGUCUUCGGAUCGUAAAACUCUGUUAUUAGGGAAGAACAUAUGUGUAAGUAACUGUGCACAUCUUGACGGUACCUAAUCAGAAAGCCACGGCUAACUACGUG